rnacentral:rRNA from 1 species
GUGGGGAAUCUUCCGCAAUGGACGAAAGUCUGACGGAGCAACGCCGCGUGAGUGAAGAAGGUUUUCGGAUCGUAAAGCUCUUUCGUUAGGGACGAACGUGCUCUUUGUGAAUAAUGAGGAGUAAUGACGGUACCUAAUUAAGAAGCCACGGCUAACUACGUGCCAGCAGCCGCAGUAAUACGUAGGUGGCAAGCGUUGUCCGGAAUUAUUGGGCGUAAAGCGCGCGCAGGCGGGAUAUCAAGUCUGUCUUAAAAGUGCGAGGCUCAACCUCGUGAGGGGACAGAAACUGGUAUUCUUGAGUGUCGGAGAGGAAAGUGGAAUUCCAAGUGUAGCGGUGAAAUGCGUAGAGAUUUGGAAGAACACCAGUGGCGAAGGCGACUUUCUGGACGAUGUCUGACGCUGAGGCGCGAAAGCUAGGGGAGCGAACGGGAUUAGAUACCCUGGUAGUCC